AUCAGAGCUUCCCUUUUCCUUCCAGAGAGAUGGGAAAUAGCUUUUGUUUUCUUCAUUAGCAACCCAGAAUUCCAAAGGUGGGAGAAAUGGAGGCUGCUGUAUGGCCUGUUAGAAGAGCUUUCAUCAUUUUGCCUCUUCUAAAGUUCCAUCUGUCCUUGAGGUGUUUGUGAGUCCUCCUCGGAACAGGAGGUUUUCCAGACCCUGUAAAUGGUUCAGAUCUUCUCUCUCAGGAGACAGAGCUGGUGGUCGUGUUUGUUUUGUGCCAUGAGGCACACAGGUGUACCUGCCCAGGCUCAUGUGUGCGUAUGCACUCGACAGGAAUGGCUGCAUCGAACCAGGCCAGGAAGGUGAUGCCCAGCUGCCAGGUCUCGGCCCUGUGAGAACUGGCAAGAAACUGUUGCCAAGCCACGGAGAAGGUGUUCUCCAGCUCACGGAAGUCCUGAGAUGCCUGAAUUCUACCCAGGGGGAUGAACAAUUUUUCCAUCUCUCCAAAGCCAACCAGGUUGAUUUCAGAGGACUGUGUCAGGUGAGAGCUGUGUCUGUAUCCAGCAUCACUGUAUAAUUUAAGGUUGAAAUGGAAGAUGCAAUUAAAAGUUUGGUUUGGACCAGUCAGCUACAAUUCAACAUAUUAUAAUUCAGUAUGAACUCUACCAGGUACUUCAGACACUUAAAACCAAGAGGUGAGCAGGAGAAAUAGCUUGCCUGCUACCAGAUGAUGUUGGCACCAC
rnacentral:lncRNA from 1 species